rnacentral:rRNA from 1 species
GAUGAACGCUGGCGGCGUGCCUAAUACAUGCAAGUCGAGCGAACAGACGAGGAUCUUGCUCCUCUGACGUUAGCGGCGGACGGGUGAGUAACACGUGGAUAACCUACCUCUAAGACUUGGAUAACUUCGGGAAACCGUAGCUAAUACCGGAUAAUAUAUUUAACCGCAUGGUUCAAUAGUGAUAGACGUUUUUGCUGUCACUUCUACCUGUCUCCUUGCCGCAUUAGCUAGUUGGUAAGGUAACGGCUUACCAAGGCAACCAUGCGUAGCCGACCUGAGAGGGUGAUCGGCCAUGAUGGAACGGAGACACGGUCCAGACUCCUAAGGGAGGCAGCAGUAGGGAAUCUUGCGCAAUGGGCGAAAGCCUGACGGAGCAAGGCCGCGUGAGUGAUGAAGGUCUUCGGAUCGUAAAACUCUGUUAUUAGGGAAGAACAAAUGUGUAAGUAACUAGGCACGUCGUGACGGUACCUAAUUAGAAAGCCACGGCUAACUACGUG